ACAACCAACCAUCCGUCUCAAAAUUCUUGUCUCAGAUUUGUCUAAAUACAGAUGUAUCAAGUCACGUUUUAAUUUAGAUAUAUCCGUAUCUAAAAAAAUCUAAGACAAAAUUUUUGGGACGGAGGAAAU
rnacentral:pre_miRNA from 1 species